rnacentral:rRNA from 1 species
GUGAGGAAUUUUCCGCAAUGGGCGAAAGCCUGACGGAGCAAUGCCGCGUGAAGGAUGAAGGCCUAUGGGUUGUAAACUUCUUUUCUUAGAGAAGAAUAUUGACGGUAUCUGAGGAAUAAGCAUCGGCUAACUCUGUGCCAGCAGCCGCGGUAAGACAGAGGAUGCAAGCGUUAUCCGGAAUGAUUGGGCGUAAAGCGUCUGUAGGUGGCUUCAAAAGUCUCCUGUCAAAAAUCAGGGCUUAACCGUGGGCCGGCAGGAGAAACUCUGAGGCUAGAGUUUGGUAGGGGCAGAGUGAAUCCCCGGUGGAGCGGUGAAAUGCGUAGAGAUCGGGAGGAACACCAAAGGCGAAAGCACUCUGCUGGGCCACAACUGACACUGAGAGACGAAAGCGAGGGGAGCAAAAGGGAUUAGAAACCCGGGUAGUCC